GAAAUAUAAAUAAAAAAGCUUCUAACUUUUUAUUAAAUGAUUAAAAUUCAUUUAUAUUUCU
rnacentral:tRNA from 1 species